CGUGUAGGCGGCUCAGCAAGUCAGGUGUGAAAGCCCUCGGCUUAACCGAGGAAGUGCGCCUGAAACUACCGAGCUUGAGUACCGGAGAGGGCGGUGGAAUUCCCGGUGUAGAGGUGAAAUUCGUAGAUAUCGGGAGGAACACCAGCGGCGAAGGCGGCCGCCUGGACGGUGACUGACGCUGAGACGCGAAAGCGUGGGGAGCAAACAGGAUUAGAUACCCUGGUAGUCCACGCUGUAAACGAUGAGCGCUAGGUGUUGUGGGUGUUGACCCCCGCAGUGCCGCAGCUAACGCAUUAAGCGCUCCGCCUGGGGAGUACGGCCGCAAGGCUAAA
rnacentral:rRNA from 1 species